rnacentral:rRNA from 1 species
UUGCGGUUANCGCACUACCUUCGGGUAAAACCAACUCCCAUGGUGUGACGGGCGGUGUGUACAAGGCCCGGGAACGUAUUCACCGCAGCAUGCUGAUCUGCGAUUACUAGCGAUUCCAACUUCAUGCACUCGAGUUGCAGAGUGCAAUCCGAACUGAGAUGGCUUUUGGAGAUUAGNCUCGGACAUCCCUGUCUCCCUGCCCCACUGNUNNCCACCAUUGUAGCACCGUGNGUAA